UACGAAGGGGGCUAGCGUUGCUCGGAAUCACUGGGCGUAAAGGGCGCGUAGGCGGAUCUUUAAGUCAGGGGUGAAAGCCUGAGGCUCAACCUCAGAAUUGCCUUUGAUACUGAAGAUCUUGAGACCGGAAGAGGUUAGUGGAACUGCGAGUGUAGAGGUGAAAUUCGUAGAUAUUCGCAAGAACACCAGUGGCGAAGGCGGCUAACUGGUCCGGUUCUGACGCUGAGGCGCGAAAGCGUGGGGAGCGAACAGG
rnacentral:rRNA from 1 species